rnacentral:rRNA from 1 species
CCUAAGGUAGCGAAAUUCCUUGUCGGGUAAGUUCCGACCUGCACGAAAGGCGCAACGACUUGGGCGCUGUCUCGACCAUGGACCCGGUGAAAUUGCACUGGUCGUGAAGAUGCGACUUACCCGCGGAAGGACGGAAAGACCCCGUGAACCUUCACUGCAGCUUGGCAUUGGCCGCUGGUCCCGCGUGUAGAGGAUAGGCAGGAGGCACAGAUCCGGAGGCGCCAGCCCCCGGGGAGCCGCCCUUGGAAUACUGCCCUCGCGCGACCGGCGUCCUAACCCGAGGCCGUCAACCGGCUCGGGGACCGUGCCAGGCGGGCAGUUUGACUGGGGCGGUCGCCUCCUAAAGGGUAACGGAGGCGCGCGAAGGUCCGCUCGGGACGGUCGGCAACCGUCCUUUUGAAUGCAAGAGUACAAGCGGGCUUGACUGCGAGGCCCACAAGCCGAGCAGGUGCGAAAGCAGGCUCUAGUGAUCCGGCGGCCCCGAGUGGGUGGGCCGUCGCUCAACGGAUAAAAGGUACUCCGGGGAUAACAGGCUGAUCUUGCCCAAGAGUCCACAUCGACGGCAAGGUUUGGCACCUCGAUGUCGGCUCAUCGCAUCCUGGGGCUGGAGCAGGUCCCAAGGGUACGGCUGUUCGCCGUUUAAAGCGGUACGCGAGCUGGGUUCAGAACGUCGUGAGACAGUUCGGUCCCUAUCCUCCGUGGGCGCAGGAGAAUCGAUGGAGGCUGCCCCCAGUACGAGAGGACCGGGGUGGACGCACCUCCGGUGAACCGGUUGUCGACCAACGGCACGGCCGGGUAGCCGCGUGCGGCGCGGAUAACCGCUGAAGGCAUCUAAGCGGGAAGCCGUUCCAGGGAUUAGUUCUCCUUCCGGUAAGGGCCCAGGUAGACUACCUGGUCGAUAGACGGCAGGUGCAAGGGCGGCGACGUCCUCAGCCGAGCCGCACUAAUCGCCCGAGCUCUUCCGGAA